rnacentral:rRNA from 1 species
CGGCCGUACCAUGCUGAAUAUACCGGUUCUCGUUAGAUCACCGAAGUCAAGCAUCAUUGGGCGCAGUCAGUACUUGGGUGGGUGACCACCUGGGAACACCGCGUGCCGUU